ensembl:lncRNA
AUGUUGCUGAGACCUGCUGAGCUCACUGCGAGGGGGACAACUGAUGCUCUCCCUGACACUGGGAGAUGGCUGACAUGGGUAUUACCAGUUUCCUCCAGAAAUAACAGUCAGCUAUAAUGGGUGGCUUUGCAGUGCACACAAGGAAUCUCGGAGUUCGGCGCUUCUUGUGUCUUCUCGUGUUCAGAAACAGAGAGCUACUCUGGGCUCAGGAAUUUCUGAGUCUUUUUAAAAUAAGCCUUGCACUAACAGUAUGCGGCUCACAGGCAUUAAUCUGCGGGCUUCCGAACUGCAGAAGAGGACAACAGAAAUGACUGCUCACAAAUAGAGUUAUCCCCUUUUCCAGAUACCAUCAAGGCUUAUUUAUCUAACUCACAGAUGAGACCAAGGUUAUAGUUUGUAUACCCCUGCGGGAAAAUUGUUACUGUUUUUAUAGCAUAUCUUUUAACUGAUUGCGCAUACUGCCCCAUAAAACUGUAAGCACACGCAGCAGAAGUGUUCGUAUCAGGGCUGUGAUUUCCACUCGCUUGAGUGCGCACCUUGUGCAAGUACUCCAUCAGCAUGUCCCCUUCCCCAGCGUGUCCAUGCUCUUCCAGAAGAAUUUGUCUUCAC